CCCUUAGAUGUUCUGGGCCGCACGCGCGCUACACUGAUGCAUUCAACGAGUCUAAAACCUGCUCUGAUAGGGGUGGGUAAUCUUUUGAAUGUGCAUCGUGAUUGGGAUAGAUGAUUGCAAUUUUUCAUCUUCAACGAGGAAUGCCUAGUAAACGCAAGUCAUCAGCUUGCAUUGAUUACGUCCCUGCCCUUUGUACACACCGCCCGUCGCACCUACCGAUUGAAUGUUUCGGUGAAGAUUCCGGAUAGGACUUUUUUGAUUUAUUUCAAUUUUGUCUUAAAAGCUAUCUAAACCUCAACAUUUAGAGGAAGGUGAAGUCGUAACA
rnacentral:rRNA from 1 species